rnacentral:sRNA from 1 species
GUGGUAGGGGAGAUGGAAACACAUUUGGCUGUUAGUUUGGCCCUGUGUUUAAUGGGUGGUAAAUAUAAGUAGAAAAUAGAGAACUUAAGUAAAUACAGCUUGAAAAGAAGCUGCUUAUGUAUUCAUCUUUCCCAAUUUGGCAGGGCCGUGUGGUCUUUGAGGACGUGGCCAUAUAUUUCUCCCAGGAGGAGUGGGGGCACCUUGAUGAGGCUCAGAGAUUGCUGUACCGUGAUGUGAUGCUGGAGAAUUUGGCCCUUUUGUCCUCACUAGGUUCUUGGCAUGGAGCUGAGGAUGAGGAGGCACCUUCACAGCAAGGUUUUUCUGUAGGAGUGUCAGAGGUUACAACUUCAAAGCCCUGUCUGUCCAGCCAGAAGGUCCACCCUAGUGAGACAUGUGGCCCACCCUUGAAAGACAUUCUGUGCCUGGUUGAGCACAAUGGAAUUCAUCCUGAGCAAGCCAUAUAUAUUUGUGAGGCAGAGCUUUUUCAGCACCCAAAGCAGCAAAUUGGAGAAAAUCUUUCCAGAGGGGAUGAUUGGAUACCUUCAUUUGGGAAGAACCACAGAGUUCACAUGGCAGAGGAGAUCUUCACAUGCAUGGAGGGCUGGAAGGACUUACCAGCCACCUCAUGCCUUCUCCAGCACCAGGGCCCUCAAAGCGAG